CUCAGAGGGGCUGUCUAUUAGAGGGUCUGUCUCUGGCUUUCUCUCAGAGGGGCUGUCUAUUAGAGGGUCUGUCUCUGGCUGUCUCUCAGAGGGGCUGUCUAUUAGAGGGUCUGUCUCUGGCUGUCUCUCAGAGGGGCUGUCUAUUAGAGGGUCUGUCUCUGGCUUUCUCUCAGAGGGGCUGUCUAUUAGAGGGUCUGUCUCUGGCUUUCUCUCAGAGGGGCUGUCUAUUAGAGGGUCUGUCUCUGGCUGUCUCUCAGAGGGGCUGUCUAUUAGAGGGUCUGUCUCUGGCUUUCUCUCAGAGGGGCUGUCUAUUAGAGGGUCUGUCUCUGGCUGUCUCUCAGAGGGGCUGUCUAUUAGAGGGUCUGUCUCUGGCUGUCUCUCAGAGGGGCUGUCUAUUAGAGGGUCUGUCUCUGGCUUUCUCUCAGAGGGGCUGUCUCUCAGGGGGUCUGUCUCUGGCUGUCUCUCAGGGGGUCUGUCUCUGGCUGUCUCUCAGAGGGGCUGUCUAUUAGAGGGUCUGUCUCUGGCUGUCUCUCAGAGGGGCUGUCUCUGGCUGUCUCUCAGAGGGGCUGUCUCUCAGGGGGGCUGUCUCUGGCUGUCUCUCAGAGGGUCUGUCUCUGGCUGUCUCUCAGAGGGGCUGUCUCUCAGGAGGUCUGUCUCUGGCUGUCUCUCAGGGGGUCUGUCUCUGGCUGUCUCUCAGAGGGGCUGUCUAUUAGAGGGUCUGUCUCUGGCUGUCUCUCAGAGGGGCUG
rnacentral:lncRNA from 1 species